GAGGGGCGGGAGGGGGCGGGGCGGGCGCGGGGGCACCGACCGGAAGGGGCGGGGGCGGAAGCCGCGCUGGGGCACGUGCAGGGGACAGUUGAGGAAGUCGACCCGAAGGCCACGGCAGAGUAGGUGUGGGGCGCUCUGUGUCGCUACGGUGUGUCACUGAGGAGCCGCACAAUCCGGGAGGGGCCGGAGGGGCUUGGCGGCCGCCCAGCGGAGCCCCUUUCUUCCCAGGGACGACAGAAGCCGGCAGCCAAGGCCGUCUUCAGUGAAUAGCAAAUGUGGUCAAGUGAUCUUCGUGGAAGCUCGUCAGGAUGAAAUCUCUAGAACGCUCCUGAGGAGGACGUCUGAGCCAGCACUGAAGUGGUGUCACUUCAAGGAUUGUCAUGGCCCUUCCUCGGCCGGUAUCAGAGAAUACGCUGUAGAGAAAGUCCCACUUGUUCGGAAAGCGGCUUUGAGGCGAACCCUUAAU